rnacentral:rRNA from 1 species
UGCGCAGGCGGAAUGAUAAGUCAGUGGUGAAAGCCUACAGCUUAACUGUAGAACUGCCAUUGAUACUGUCGUUCUUGAGUACAGUUGAAGUGGGCGGAAUGUGUCAUGUAGCGGUGAAAUGCAUAGAUAUGACACAGAACACCGAUAGCGAAGGCAGCUCACUAAGCUGAAACUGACGCUCAUGCACGAAAGCGUGGGGAGCAAACAGGAUUAGAUACCCUGGUAGUCC